rnacentral:rRNA from 1 species
UACGGAGGAUCCAAGCGUUAUCCGGAUUUAUUGGGUUUAAAGGGUGCGUAGGUGGCCUGGUAAGUCAGGGGUGAAAGACGGUAGCUCAACUAUCGCAGUGCCCUUGAUACUGAUGGGCUUGAAUGGACUAGAGGUAGGCGGAAUGAGACAAGUAGCGGUGAAAUGCAUAGAUAUGUCUCAGAACACCGAUUGCGAAGGCAGCUUACUAUGGUCUUAUUGACGCUGAGGCACGAAAGCGUGGGGAUCAAACAGG